UACGUAGGGUGCGAGCGUUGCCCGGAUUUAUUGGGCGUAAAGGGCGCGUAGGCGGUGAGAUGCGUCCGUUGUGAAAUCGCCCGGCUCAACUGGGCGGGGUCAGCGGAUACGGUCUCACUUGAGCAAGCUAGGGGGCAAUGGAAUUCCCGGUGUAGUGGUGGAAUGCGUAGAUAUCGGGAGGAACACCGGUGGCGAAGGCGGGUCUCUGGGCCGAUACUGACGCUGAGGAGCGAAGGCCAGGGGAGCAAACGGG
rnacentral:rRNA from 1 species